rnacentral:lncRNA from 1 species
UUAUUACAGACUAGGGGAAUAGCUCUGGUAGCAUGGAUGGAGGCGAUAACAUACGGACACAUAAAAACACAUCAGCUUCCAUUUCUACAUUUUAAUCAGACAAAGAUUGACGUCACAAACAUAAAUACAAAAUACUGGUAAACGGGGAACAACUCUCUCUUUCAAACAGAAACAUAAUCUGACCAUACAUACUGAUAUAUAUAACAUCCCGCCCACAAAACAAAAAUUUAUUAAAUUUUUACAAUGGUCAAUAUGUUUAUGUGUUAUAAAAAAAUACAAUAUGUAUUAAUUUCUAAAAUUGAAAGUUUACAUGAAUAAUUAAGUUAAUCUCUCGACACUUUAGUAACCAUUUUAAAACAAACGUAUCAACGCUGCAAACCCGAAAGUCUGGCAUCUCGGACUCCUCCCUCGGAUGACCUUAUGCACGCAUUACUUCCACACAACAAUUACAGUGAUACACACAUAUUAAUGGCAUUUCCUACUAGACAAACAUAUAUCAUUAUAAAUAGCUGAAUACAAAUUUGAUAAUAUCAUCAGAGACCUUAAACUCUUAAAUUUGAUAAGGUUUUAUUUAUGAUAAAUAUCACACCGCUAAAUGAUAAACACAUUCACAUUAUAGCUUAAUUUCAAAGUAAACAAAUAACGUUGAUCAAAAUUAGCAUGAAAAGUAUCAGGUUUCAUAAAAUCAACAUGUUUAAAAAUAGAAUGUUCUCGUACAGAAUAAAUUCAUCAGCUUUUCUUUAAAAUAGGUCUUCUCGGAACUCUACAAAACCAUGGCGAUACAGUUAUCACCAAAACACAGUAAAUAUAAUUACGUUUUUAAAAGACGGAGUCAAAUAAAGGUUACGGCGGAAUGAACACAACAGCAAUACAGUCAACAUAUUACGCAAUAUACAUCACACGUGCAGAAGGUUCAACGGAUAAAUCUGGGUCAACAGUAAAAAUGGUUCUUUUGGUGAAAUCGAAAGUUUAGACUAUGCAUGGCGAUACAGUUAUCACCGAUACAAAUUGAAUAAUGUCAAAUGAAAAUAGCAUAGUAUAUUAACAGGAUCCAAAUGUUACGAAAAUCAAAUAAUGUAUGAUGCAAUGAGAUAAUUCUCACGUGCUUUCUGGUUGAAACGGAAUACAUGUAGACAUCCACCUAAUUCACAAAGACAGUACGUACACGAUACGAGACAUGGUCUGUUCUUCUUUCAAAAAUCAAUUUAAAUUUUGGUAUCAUAAUAAAAGUUCAGGUAUACAUUUUUUAAAAACAAUAAAAAGUUAUCAGCAUCAUGGCGGAAUAACAGGAUCCAUCAGGAACAAAAUGUCGGUCAACUUUUUAAGAAAAAAUAUCCAAAAUCCAAUGAAAAAUUAAACUCCAAAAUAUGUAUAAAUAAUUAUUCACGAUCGUGCCCGGGUCCUCCACCAUAUUACAGACUAGGGGAAUAGCUCUGGUAGCAUGGAUGGAGGCGAUAACAUACGGACACAUAAAAACAGACAGCUUCCAUUUCUAC